CCCGGGCAGGCCCAUCUCAGAAUUAACGCUUUGAUGGCAUCACCGCGUCGGGAAUCCCUGGGGAUGGUGUUCUCCACCGUCAAGACCUUUGAGCCGCCUGAGCGACUAACUCCUGCGCCCCUGAGGUCACAGCUACUUGGAAGGCUGAGAUGUGAAGACUACUUGAGCUCAGAAGUUCCACUGCACUCCAGCCUGGGUUACAGAGGGAAACCUUGUCUCUAAAAAAAAGAAAAAAGAAAGAAAGAAAAAGAAAACAUAGGACAUUUUAUUCAGAAAUUAAAUCAUUCAGAGUUCCAGCACUGUCGGGGGUCAUCGGGCUCUGUCCACCGCCAUAGGCCUAGCAUUGUCACCAACGGAGCCAUAGAGGGACCUCGGCCCAAGCUGGGGCCUCUUCAUUGUCGAAGAAGGCCUCUUGCCAGACCAGGAUCUGUGGGCGCGGCCAGGCUGGAGGACUAGGGCGGUGGCAGUGGCCAGGAAGCCCUUGGCCCCCAAGAAGGGAGACAGUUCUGCUGAAGAACUCGAACUGGAUACUCAGCUGACAGGACCAGAAAUGCCCAUCGGCAAUGUCUACAAGGAGAAAGCCAGAGUCAUCGCUGACUAGGAGGAAAACUUCCAGGCCUUGUUAGUCUCUGUAUGGCCCAUGCAAAUGCCCAGCUCUUCGGCAUAUAGGCACAAAGAGCCAAGGAAGCUGUAGAAGAGGACGCUUAAAAAAAAAAAAAACGGGUAGGCUCGAGCCGCUGCAUCAGCUUCGCGCUGGGUCUCUCGGUCCCGCAGCCAUGAGGAGGACGCUGCCCAGACUCACUACCCGCCCUCUCAGUCCCGCAGCCACGAGGAGGACGCUGCCC
rnacentral:lncRNA from 10 species